UUUGUGAAUAUUAAUAAUAAGUCUUUUUUGAGGUUAAUUGAGUAAUCAUCAAUUUAGGUUAAAAAUAAAUAAACUGGAUUACAUGCUGUGCGAAUUUUUAUGCUUUAACCAUACGACAACAAUUUUCUGAUUUAAAUCUAAGAAUACCGAUGAAUUACAAUCGUUCUCUUUAUCUUGAUAUUAUAACAGACAGUUACUGUAACACGCCCAAGAAAAAGACUCCAUUUCAGCAUCGGAUCUAUGCAUAUAAAUUUCAAUUUCCAAUGGGUUAACGAUAUAAAAAUUUCUUUUAACUAAUGUCUCCUUCGUAGAGAAUUCAUGUGAAUUAUCAUGCGAAUAAAAUUCAAUCACAGUUACAAGAAAUAAGCAAGACAUGAAUGUGUUAAAAGAUGAUCAAUCAUUUUACUGAAAGAGAGAGAGCAGAGUAUUUUCAACAAUGAUAAGAUGAAGCCGACGAUACUAAAAUCAUGAAAGAUUUUGGAAGACACCGUCCUCUUUUUAUUCACACUGGGAAGAAACCAUGUGCAUUAAUAUUCUA
rnacentral:lncRNA from 1 species